CGCUAGCUACAGGCUUAACACAUGCAAGUCGAGGGUCAGCAUGGUCUUAGCUUGCUAAGGCCGAUGGCGACCGGCGCACGGGUGAGUAACACGUAUCCAACCUGCCGUCUACUCUUGGACAGCCUUCUGAAAGGAAGAUUAAUACAAGAUGGCAUCAUGAGUCCGCAUGUUCACAUGAUUAAAGGUAUUCCGGUAGACGAUGGGGAUGCGUUCCAUUAGAUAGUAGGCGGGGUAACGGCCCACCUAGUCUUCGAUGGAUAGGGGUUCUGAGAGGAAGGUCCCCCACAUUGGAACUGAGACACGGUCCAAACUCCUACGGGAGGCAGCAGUGAGGAAUAUUGGUCAAUGGGCGAGAGCCUGAACCAGCCAAGUAGCGUGAAGGAUGACUGCCCUAUGGGUUGUAAACUUCUUUUAUAAAGGAAUAAAGUCGGGUAUGGAUACCCGUUUGCAUGUACUUUAUGAAUAAGGAUCGGCUAACUCCGUGCCAGCAGCCGCGGUAAUACGGAGGAUCCGAGCGUUAUCCGGAUUUAUUGGGUUUAAAGGGAGCGUAGAUGGAUGUUUAAGUCAGUUGUGAAAGUUUGCGGCUCAACCGUAAAAUUGCAGUUGAUACUGGAUAUCUUGAGUGCAGUUGAGGCAGGCGGAAUUCGUGGUGUAGCGGUGAAAUGCUUAGAUAUCACGAAGAACUCCGAUUGCGAAGGCAGCCUGCUAAGCUGCAACUGACAUUGAGGCUCGAAAGUGUGGGUAUCAAACAGGAUUAGAUACCCUGGUAGUCCACACGGUAAACGAUGAAUACUCGCUGUUUGCGAUAUACUGCAAGCGGCCAAGCGAAAGCGUUAAGUAUUCCACCUGGGGAGUACGCCGGCAACGGUGAAACUCAAAGGAAUUGACGGGGGCCCGCACAAGCGGAGGAACAUGUGGUUUAAUUCGAUGAUACGCGAGGAACCUUACCCGGGCUUAAAUUGCAGAUGAAUUACGGUGAAAGCCGUAAGCCGCAAGGCAUCUGUGAAGGUGCUGCAUGGUUGUCGUCAGCUCGUGCCGUGAGGUGUCGGCUUAAGUGCCAUAACGAGCGCAACCCUUGUUGUCAGUUACUAACAGGUUCCGCUGAGGACUCUGACAAGACUGCCAUCGUAAGAUGUGAGGAAGGUGGGGAUGACGUCAAAUCAGCACGGCCCUUACGUCCGGGGCUACACACGUGUUACAAUGGGGGGUACAGAGGGCCGCUACCACGCGAGUGGAUGCCAAUCCCCAAAACCUCUCUCAGUUCGGACUGGAGUCUGCAACCCGACUCCACGAAGCUGGAUUCGCUAGUAAUCGCGCAUCAGCCACGGCGCGGUGAAUACGUUCCCGGGCCUUGUACACACCGCCCGUCAAGCCAUGGGAGCCGGGGGUACCUGAAGUGCGUAACCGCGAGGAGCGCCCUAGGGUAAAACUGGUGACUGGG
rnacentral:rRNA from 1 species